CAGAACUGUGCUGGCCAGGUGCUUGCUGGGCAUUUCAGAGAAGCCAGAGAGUGGGAGAAACACCAGUGACUGGACCUGAGCUGUAGGGAAUGGAAAAGGCCUUUGAAGGUGGAAUGGAGAAGAAAGGGCCUCCUAGGCAGGGGCUGGGCCCAGAGGAGGGAUCCACACAAGGCAACUACGUGGACUUCAAGGUUGGCUUUGCCUGGUAAAGCUCUGAUGAUGAGGAUAAUGACAAGUAAUGUCUGGGAGCUACUGUAUUCGAUGAAAACAGAACUCCACGUCUCCAAGGCUACAGGCCUCCUGAAAUGGAGAAGAGACCCCAAGCAAAGUGGUCUUUCCAGGAGACAUCAAGUGCGGUCAUCACAGUGACUCUCCUCUCAUCUCCUCCUCACAGCAUUGGACUUGCCUUUAAGAUCUCCAGUUUAGAACAGCUUCAGCUGGGGGAUGGCAAUGGGGAAUGGGAUGGAAGCCAGAAUUUGCUCUCCUAAAUCUGGCCCGAGCGAUAGAAGGCAUCUUUGGCCUGAAGAAGUGUAAUACAAAGAAAAUCCUAAUUGCUACAGCUAAGUAAUUAGAAGAUCCAACCUAUAUAUCAUAGUGUGGCCACCCCUUUAAUUAUGUGCACAGUUCGGUCGGUGACUAAUGCAUCUUCUUUCCUAGAUGAGCGUAUUUAAUAUCCUGUGAUGGCAACAAGUUUCAAGCUGAUUUAUCGUUAUUUUGUUUGGUCAGAUGAUUUUCCUGCAUUUUAAUGUGUUUUGUGGUUACAUAUUUGCUAUGAACAAACAAUGCUUUUCCCAGGUAGUACGCUCUAAAAUGCUGGCUGCACGAUUUGUUUACUAUUCUUUUAGGCCUCUGAGAAAUCAAAAAACAUUAUGUACUUAUUUUUGAGUAGCUGCACUAAAAUCUUAAACAGUCUCCUUAGAGCCCUUCUUUCUCUGGCAGUAUGUACACACGCAAUAAAAUAUUUGAAAAAUU
rnacentral:lncRNA from 1 species